AACGAACGCUGGCGGCAUGCCUAACACAUGCAAGUCGAACGAACCCUUCGGGCUUAUGGGCGCACGUGUGCGUAACGCGUGGGAAUCUGCCCUUUGCUUCGGUAUAACUCAGGGAAACUUGUGCUAAUACCGGUUGAGGUCUUCCGACCAAAGAUUUAUCGGCACGGGAUGAGGCCGCGUAGGAUUAGGUGGUUGGUGGGGUAAAGGCAUGCCAAGCAGUCGUUCCUUAGCUGGUGUGAGAGGAUGAUAAGCCACGCUGGAACUGAGGCACGGCCUAGAAUGGGACGCGGGGGAGCAGAGGGGAAUAUUGGGCGAGGAGCGCAGGUGUGACAAAGCAACGCGGGGUGUGUGGUCAAGGCGGUCGGGUAGUAAAGCUCUUUGAGCAGGGAUGAUAAUGACAGUACCUGGUGAAUAAGCACCGGCUAACUCCGUG
rnacentral:rRNA from 1 species